rnacentral:rRNA from 1 species
UACCGAGGUCCCGAGCGUUGUUCGGAUUCACUGGGCGUAAAGGGUGCGUAGGUGGCCUAGAAAGUUUGAUGUGAAAGCUCAGGGCUUAACCCUGAAAUGGCAUUGAAUACUGCUGUGCUGGAGGUUUGGAGGGGGGACUGGAAUUCUUGGUGUAGCAGUGAAAUGCGUAGAUAUCAAGAGGAACACCAGUGGCGAAGGCGAGUCCCUGGACAACACCUGACACUGAGGCACGAAAGCUAGGGGAGCAAACAGG